UUUGAGCUCUCCCUCUUCUCCCCCUCGGCUUCUGUCCUCACCAGGGAUUACUAAAUAUGGGACCUCGGUAGCUGCCUAGGAUUACUGAAGGCAUCAGACAAGCAGAAACCCAGAGCAGCGUUAGCUGGUCCUAGAUGGUCCUUUGAAGAAGACCAUAGUUCUAAAACAGGUGUGGUCAGGUUACCAACAAAUUUAUUCAGCUGUUUGAAGUAAGACUCUAGUCUUAAAGCAUUCUUCCACUUCUGCCUCCAGAAUCCUCAAAGGGAACCUUCCUUGGAACAUGCUACUGAAAUAGAAUCCUUCCUGCUGAAGAUUCAGAAACUGGAGAAAGAGAACUCUGCAGAAAACUGAGGCUUCCUCCUGUUUUAAAGGAGAAAAGUUGCUCCUCCCCUCACCGCCCUAUCCCACAGGCAGCCCAGUGAGUUCCAGCAAAGUACAGCAGAAAGGAGACCUAGCUUUCAUAUUAAAUAUACAGCAUUGAAAACUGAACUGUGGUAUUGGAGAAGACUCUUGAGAGUCCAGCCAGAGAGAGAUUCAGCCAGUCCAUCCUAAAGGAAAUCAGCCCUGAAUAUUCAUUGGAAGGACUGAUGCUGAAGCUGAAACUCCAAUAAUUUGGCCACCUGAUGUGAAGAACUGACUCAUUGGAAAA